rnacentral:rRNA from 1 species
UACGUAGGGGGCUAGCGUUGUCCGGAAUCAUUGGGCGUAAAGAGCGUGUAGGCGGCCCGGUAAGUCCGCUGUGAAAGUCGGGGGCUCAACCCUCGAAAGCCGGUGGAUACUGUCGGGCUAGAGUGCGGAAGAGGCGAGUGGAAUUCCUGGUGUAGCGGUGAAAUGCGCAGAUAUCAGGAGGGACACCGAUUGCGAAGGCAGCUCGCUGGGACGUAACUGACGCUGAGACGCGAAAGCGUGGGGAGCGAACAGG